CCUACGGGAGGCAGCAGUGAGGAAUAUUGGUCAAUGGCCGGAAGGCUGAACCAGCCAAGCCGCGUGAGGGAGGAAGGCGCAGAGCGUCGUAAACCUCUUUUGCCGGGGGACAAAAGGCCGGACUCGUCCGUUCCUGAGGGUACCCGGAGAAAAAGCAUCGGCUAACUCCGUGCCAGCAGCCGCGGUAAUACGGAGGAUGCGAGCGUUAUCCGGAUUUAUUGGGUUUAAAGGGUGCGUAGGCGGAAUGUCAAGUCAGCGGUAAAAUGGCGGGGCUCAACCCCGUCGUGCCGUUGAAACUGACGUUCGUGAGUGGGCGAGAAGUAUGCGGAAUGCGUGGUGUAGCGGUGAAAUGCAUAGAUAUCACGCAGAACUCCGAGUGCGAAGGCAGCAUACCGGCGCCCAACUGACGCUGAAGCACGAAAGCGUGGGUAUCGAACAGGAUUAGAUACCCCAGUAGUC
rnacentral:rRNA from 1 species